ACGUAAAGCGCAUGCAGGCGGCCUGUUAAGUCAGAUGUAGAAACGGCCCCGGGGGUACUUAACCCUACGGGUAAAUUGCUAUUUAGAAACGUGGCAGGCUAGAGUCUUGUAGAGGGGGUAGAAUUUCAGGUGUAGCGGUGAAAUGCGUAGAGAUCUGAAGGAAUACCAGUGGCGAAGGCGGCCCCCUGGACAAAGACUGACGCUCAGAUGCGAAAGCGUGGGGAGCAAACAGGAUUAGAUACCCUGGUAG
rnacentral:rRNA from 1 species